CAGUAGGUAGUUUAAUAGUCUAAAAUAUUAGUUUUGGAGACUAAUGAUGAAAAUCUUCUUUACUGA
rnacentral:tRNA from 1 species